AAAGCACCUUGAAAAGGGGGUUAAAUAGUACGUGAAAUUGUUGAAAGGGAAGCACUUGUGACCAGACUUGGGCCGGGCGGCUCAUCAGGGGUUCUCCCCUGUGCACUCCGCCCGGCACAGGCCAGCAUCGGUUCUCGUGGGGGGAUAAGACCGUCAGGAACGUAGCACCCUCCGGGGUGUGUUAUAGCCUGGCGGACGAUACCCCCGUGGGGACCGAGGUUCGCGCUCCGCAAGGAUGCUGGCGUAAUGGUCACCAGUGACCCGUCUUGAAACACGGACCAAGAGGAGGGGGACAUUAGCCAGCAUCCUUGCGGAGCGCGAACCUCGGUCCCAGGGGGGGUAUUUCGCCGGGGUAUAACACCCCCCGGAAGGUGCUACGUUUCGGGUGAGAGGUGAUUUCCCCCCCGAAAACCAAUAAUUUGCCUGGUGGGCCGGGCGAGAU
rnacentral:rRNA from 1 species